rnacentral:lncRNA from 1 species
UUAUGGACCAUGAUUCUCCAUAACAAUUAUCAGUAAACAAGAUAAUGUAUUCUUCUCUCUCUAUAAAAUGAAAACAUAGAGGAUCCUUUGGUAAAUUUUUUUUGAAACUAGAAAAGUACUCUCCUACUAAUUCUUCCUCAAUAUUUUCAAAGCUCUGACUAACUUAAGUAUUGAAGGGUCCUUUAUCACAAAAUCUCUAAUGAUUGAACUUUUCUCGCC